AACGAACGCUGGCGGCGCGCCUAACACAUGCAAGUCGAACGUGAAAGUAGCAAUAUGAGUAAAGUGGCGCACGGGUGAGAAACGCGUAGGUAACCUACCUUAGUGACCGGAAUAACCAGCCGAAAGGAUGGCUAAUACUGGAUAGAGCGCAUGGGUUGUAAGAAUUUGUGCGGGAAAGGUGGCAGCAAUGCUAUCACAUUAAGAUGGGCCUGCGUCUCAUUAGCUAGUUGGUAGGGUAAUGGCCUACCAAGGCAAUGAUGGGUAGCUGGUCUAAGAGGAUGAUCAGCCACACUGGAACUGAAACACGGUCCAGACUCCUACGGGAGGCAGCAGUGGGGAAUCUUGCGCAAUGGACGAAAGUCUGACGCAGCGACGCCGCGUGGGUGAAGAAGGCCUUCGGGUUGUAAAGCCCUGUCGAACGGGAAAAACGAUCACUACAAUAAUAAGGUAGUGAUGUGAUGGUACCGUUAGAGGAAGCACCGGCUAACUCUGUGCCAGCCGCCGCCGUAA
rnacentral:rRNA from 1 species